rnacentral:rRNA from 1 species
UACGUAGGGGGCAAGCGUUGUCCGGAAUUAUUGGGCGUAAAGCGCGCGCAGGCGGUCUCUUAAGUCUGAUGUGAAAGCCCACGGCUCAACCGUGGAGGGUCAUUGGAAACUGGGGGACUUGAGUGUAGGAGAGGAAAGUGGAAUUCCACGUGUAGCGGUGAAAUGCGUAGAUAUGUGGAGGAACACCAGUGACGAAGGCGACUUUCUGGCCUACAACUGACGCUGAGGUGCGAAAGCGUGGGGAGCAAACAGG